rnacentral:rRNA from 1 species
UACGUAGGGAGCAAGCGUUGUCCGGAAUCAUUGGGCGUAAAGCGCGCGUAGGCGGCCCGAUAAGUCCGCUGUAAGAGUCAACGGCUCAACUGUUGAAAGCCGGUGGAUACUGUCGGGCUAGAGUACGGAAGAGGCAAGUGGAAUUCCUGGUGUAGCGGUGGAAUGCGCAGAUAUCAGGAGGAACACCCAUAGCGAAGGCAGCUUGCUGGGACGUUACUGACGCUAAGGCGCGAAAGCGUGGGGAGCGAACAGG